rnacentral:rRNA from 1 species
AUGUCGUUCUCCUCCGGAGCUUCAUCUUCUUCGCGCGGCGGCGGGCUUAGCAGGAGAGGCGAGCAACAAGCAGUGAGGUCACCGGUGCCGUAUCAGGAGCAGCCCAUGGACUACGAGCCAGCUAGGAAUUGCAGCCUUUGCAGGAAGAAGGCACCGCGGUGGAUCUCGUGGAGUAGGGCGAACCCUGGUAGGAGUUACUAUGCGUGUGUGGAUGCUCAGGUAUGCUCGAUUCCUUGUUUGUUUGGUUGUCCCGCCUCUGUUUCUGAAUCUCUCUUUAAUUUCUCUGAAAUUUGUUGGUGA